UACAGAGGUCCCAAGCGUUGUUCGGAUUCACUGGGCGUAAAGGGUGCGUAGGUGGCGAGGUAAGUCGGAUGUGAAAGCUCGGAGCUCAACUCCGAAAUGGCAUUGGAAACUACCUUGCUCGAGGGUUGGAGGGGGGGACUGGAAUUCUCGGUGUAGCAGUGAAAUGCGUAGAUAUCGGGAGGAACACCGAUGGCGAAGGCAGGUCUCUGGGCCAUAACUGACGCUGAGAAGCGAAAGCAUGGGGAGCGAACAGG
rnacentral:rRNA from 1 species